UUAAGCGACCAAGCGUACACGGUGGAUGCCCUGGCAGUCAGAGGCGAUGAAGGACGUGCUAAUCUGCGAAAAGCGCCGGUAAGGUGAUAUGAACCGUUAUAACCGGCGAUGUCCGAAUGGGGAAACCCAGUGUGACUCGUCACACUAUCAUUAACUGAAUCCAUAGGUUAAUGAGGCGAACCGGGGGAACUGAAACAUCUAAGUACCCCGAGGAAAAGAAAUCAACCGAGAUUCCCCCAGUAGCGGCGAGCGAACGGGGAGGAGCCCAGAGCCUGAAUCAGCAUGUGUGUUAGUGGAAGCGUCUGGAAAGGCGCGCGAUACAGGGUGACAGCCCCGUACACAAAAGCGCAUAUGCUGUGAGCUCGAUGAGUAGGGCGGGACACGUGGUAUCCUGUCUGAAUAUGGGGGGACCAUCCUCCAAGGCUAAAUACUCCUGACUGACCGAUAGUGAACCAGUACCGUGAGGGAAAGGCGAAAAGAACCCCGGCGAGGGGAGUGAAACAGAACCUGAAACCGUGUACGUACAAGCAGUGGGAGCACAGGUUUACCUGUGUGACUGCGUACCUUUUGUAUAAUGGGUCAGCGACUUAUAUUCUGUAGCAAGGUUAACCGAAUAGGGGAGCCGGAGGGAAACCGAGUCUUAAUUGGGCGUUAAGUUGCAGGGUAUAGACCCGAAACCCGGUGAUCUAGCCAUGGGCAGGUUGAAGGUUGGGUAACACUAACUGGAGGACCGAACCGACUAAUGUUGAAAAAUUAGCGGAUGACCUGUGGCUGGGGGUGAAAGGCCAAUCAAACCGGGAGAUAGCUGGUUCUCCCCGAAAGCUAUUUAGGUAGCGCCUCGUGAAUUCAUCUCCGGGGGUAGAGCACUGUUUCGGCCAGGGGGCCAUCCCGGCUUACCAACCCGAUGCAAACUGCGAAUACCGGAGAAUGUUAUCACGGGAGACACACGGCGGGUGCUAACGUCCGUCGUGAAGAGGGAAACAACCCAGACCGCCAGCUAAGGUCCCAAAGUCAUGGUUAAGUGGGAAACGAUGUGGGAAGGCCCAGACAGCCAGGAUGUUGGCUUAGAAGCAGCCAUCAUUUAAAGAAAGCGUAAUAGCUCACUGGUCGAGUCGGCCUGCGCGGAAGAUGUAACGGGGCUAAACCAUGCACCGAAGCUGCGGCAGCGAACGUAUCACUUAAAGCGAUUCAGCGGAUGACGAUUGACGGAGCGAAGCGACGUCAAAGCGUUUUACAACAUCGAGUCGGUUUAAGGAUACGUUCGUUGGGUAGGGGAGCGUUCUGUAAGCCUGCGAAGGUGGCCUGUGAGGGUUGCUGGAGGUAUCAGAAGUGCGAAUGCUGACAUAAGUAACGAUAAUGCGGGUGAAAAACCCGCACGCCGGAAGACCAAGGGUUCCUGUCCAACGUUAAUCGGGGCAGGGUGAGUCGACCCCUAAGGCGAGGCCGAAAGGCGUAGUCGAUGGGAAACGGGUUAAUAUUCCCGUACCUGGUGUUACUGCGAAGGGGGGACGGAGAAGGCUAUGUUGGCCGGGCGACGGUUGUCCCGGUUUAAGCGUGUAGGCUGGUUUUCCAGGCAAAUCCGGAAAAUCAAGGCUGAGGCGUGACGACGAGGCACUACGGUGCUGAAGCAACAAAUGCCCUGCUUCCAGGAAAAGCCUCUAAGCCUCAGGUAACAUCAGAUCGUACCCGAAACCGACACAGGUGGUCAGGUAGAGAAUACCAAGGCGCUUGAGAGAACCCGGGUGAAGGAACUAGGCAAAAUGGUGCCGUAACUUCGGGAGAAGGCACGCUGACACGUAGGUGAAGCGGUUUACCCGUGGAGCUGAAGUCAGUCGAAGAUACCAGCUGGCUGCAACUGUUUAUUAAAAACACAGCACUGUGCAAACACGAAAGUGGACGUAUACGGUGUGACGCCUGCCCGGUGCCGGAAGGUUAAUUGAUGGGGUCAGCGCAAGCGAAGCUCCUGAUCGAAGCCCCGGUAAACGGCGGCCGUAACUAUAACGGUCCUAAGGUAGCGAAAUUCCUUGUCGGGUAAGUUCCGACCUGCACGAAUGGCGUAAUGAUGGCCAGGCUGUCUCCACCCGGGACUCAGUGAAAUUGAACUCGCUGUGAAGAUGCAGUGUACCCGCGGCAAGACGGAAAGACCCCGUGAACCUUUACUAUAGCUUGACACUGAACACUGGUCCUUGAUGUGCAGGAUAGGUGGGAGGCUUUGAAGUGUGGACGCCAGUCUGCAUGGAGCCGUCCUUGAAAUACCACCCUUUAAUGGCUGGUGUUCUAACGUAGACCCGUGAACCGGGUUGCGGACAGUGUCUGGUGGGUAGUUUGACUGGGGCGGUCUCCUCCUAAAGCGUAACGGAGGAGCACGAAGGUUGGCUAAUCCUGGUCGGACAUCAGGAGGUUAGUGCAAUGGCAUAAGCCAGCUUGACUGCGAGCGUGACGGCGCGAGCAGGUGCGAAAGCAGGUCAUAGUGAUCCGGUGGUUCUGAAUGGAAGGGCCAUCGCUCAACGGAUAAAAGGUACUCCGGGGAUAACAGGCUGAUACCGCCCAAGAGUUCAUAUCGACGGCGGUGUUUGGCACCUCGAUGUCGGCUCAUCACAUCCUGGGGCUGAAGUAGGUCCCAAGGGUAUGGCUGUUCGCCAUUUAAAGUGGUACGCGAGCUGGGUUUAGAACGUCGUGAGACAGUUCGGUCCCUAUCUGCCGUGGGCGCUGGAGAACUGAGGGGGGCUGCUCCUAGUACGAGAGGACCGGAGUGGACGCAUCACUGGUGUUCGGGUUGUCAUGCCAAUGGCACUGCCCGGUAGCUAAAUGCGGAAGAGAUAAGUGCUGAAAGCAUCUAAGCACGAAACUUGCCCCGAGAUGAGUUCUCCCUGAGACUACGAGUCUCCUGAAGGAACGUUGAAGACGACGACGUUGAUAGGCCGGGUGUGUAAGCGCAGCGAUGCGUUGAGCUAACCGGUACUAAUGAACCGUGAGGCUUAACCUU
rnacentral:rRNA from 1 species